rnacentral:rRNA from 1 species
UUAUCCUACGGGAUGCAGCAGUUUUUACUCUUGUUCCAUUUUCUCAAGCCUGACCCAGCAACGCCGCGUGAAGGAAGAAGGCUUUCGGGUUGUAAACUUCUUUUAUGAGGGACGAAAGAAAUGACGGUACCUCAUGAAUAAGCCACGGCUAACUACGUGCCAGCAGCCGCGGUAAUACGUAGGUGGCAAGCGUUAUCCGGAUUUACUGGGUGUAAAGGGCGUGUAGGCGGGACUGCAAGUCAGAUGUGAAAAUUAUGGGCUCAACUCAUAACCUGCAUUUGAAACUGUAGUUCUUGAGUGAUGGA